rnacentral:rRNA from 1 species
CCUACGGGUGGCUGCAGUCGAGAAUCUUCCGCAAUGGGCGAAAGCCUGACGGAGCGACGCCGCGUGCGGGAUGAAGGCCCUUGGGUUGUAAACCGCUGUCAGGGGGGAUGAAAGCCGCAAGGCUUGACAGAGCCCCAGAGGAAGCACGGGCUAAGUUCGUGCCAGCAGCCGCGGUAAGACGAACUGUGCGAACGUUAUUCGGAAUCACUGGGCUUACAGGGUGCGUAGGCGGCCUGCUAAGUAGGGUGUGAAAUCCCCCGGCCCAACCGGGGAACUGCGCUCUAAACUAACAGGCUUGAGUGAGCUAGGGGUGCACGGAACUUCCAGUGGAGCGGUGAAAUGUGUUGAUAUUGGAAGGAACACCGGAGGCGAAAGCGGUGCACUGGGGCUUAACUGACGCUGAGGCACGAAAGCCAGGGUAGCGAACGGGAUUAGAUACC